AUGUCCCUGGUCGCCGCGUGCGCCGCCGGAGCGCGCGCCUCCCUGCUUUUCCCCUCCCCGUCGUCCUGUUCCCGCCCAUGCCCGGCUCUCGCCCACCACAGCCGCGCGUAUAGGUCCCUUGUCUCGCCGGCGGCGAGCAGGGGAGGCCGCCGCAGUACGCGUCUCCGGGUGCGCGCAGCCAGGCUGGAGUCCACCGGCGUCUCCGUGGGCUUCCGCGCACCCCAAUUCGAGCUCCCGGAGCCCCUGACGGGGAAAAUCUGGACACUGGAUGACUUCGAGGGCAGCCCUGCUUUGCUGGUUAUGUUCAUAUGCAAUCACUGUCCAUUUGUAAAACAUCUGAAGAAAGAUAUUGCAAAGCUCACUUCAUUCUAUAUGGAGAAAGGACUUGCUUCUGUCGCCAUAUCCUCAAAUUCAAUUGUGACACAUCCCCAGGAUGGCCCCGAGUACAUGGCGGAGGAGGCAAAAUUGUUUAAAUACCCUUUUCCUUAUUUGUAUGAUGAGUCUCAAGAAGUUGCUAAGGGUUUUCGAGCAGUCUGCACACCAGAGUUCUACUUGUUCAAAAAGGAUGGGCGAAGACCAUUUGAACUUUUUUACCAUGGGCAAUUUGAUGAUUCAAGACCCAGUAACAAUGUGCCAGUCAGCGGAAGAGAUUUAAGCCGUGCAAUUGACUGUGCACUUAGUGGCCAAGAAUUGCCUUUCGACCAAAAACCAAGUGUCGGGUGCAGCAUCAAGUGGCACAAGUGA
rnacentral:rRNA from 1 species